UACGAAGGGGGCUAGCGUUGUUCGGAAUUACUGGGCGUAAAGCGCACGUAGGCGGGUUGUUAAGUCAGGGGUGAAAUCCUGGAGCUCAACUCCAGAACUGCCUUUGAUACUGGGUAUCUCGAGUCCGGAAGAGGUGAGUGGAAUUCCGAGUGUAGAGGUGAAAUUCGUAGAUAUUCGGAGGAACACCAGUGGCGAAGGCGGCUCACUGGUCCGGUACUGACGCUGAGGUGCGAAAGCGUGGGGAGCAAACAGG
rnacentral:rRNA from 1 species